CCAGAAGAUAGAGAACUUCUGCUUCUUCUCAUUUGUUAUUCUGUUUCUGUUGAUACUUGCUUCAAUUACUGACUAUAAGAAGAUAGAAUCCAGUGCAUUCUACACAAUAUGAAUGAAUAAGAGAGUGAAGAAAGUUGCUCAGUGAAUCUGCUACAGCAGGAGAACUUUUUCUGUGCUGUAUGGAGCACCUCAUGCUACUUCAUCAAGGCUGACGUCAUGUGGAAAAUGGCCAGUGAUUUUCGUGUCCACCCUGGAGUGUGAAAAGAAACAUCAAUUCAGGCUAGACCAAAGAAACCACCCACAAGGAGUCCCUGGAUGUGAAGGUGAGAAAAUACACAGGAAUUCUCUAAAAGCCAGAGAGCUACUUAGAGUGGCUGAAGCAAGUAUCAGCAGAAAUAGAAUAACAAAUGAGAAGAAGCUGAAGUUGUCUACCUUCUGGUCCCUCUUCCUUCUUUCCUGUUCUGCCCAGAUUUUAGAAUCAACUGCAAUGACGAGAGGAGGUCUAGAGGGAACUGAUCCAAACAGCUGAUGUCUGUAGCAAGGCUGCAAGGCCACUGUCCUUAAGAAUUCUUUAUAUAAGUUUUGGUGAGACUCACUGCUAUAAACUAUGAAGAUGAAAUGCCAGUGGCUCAGAAUGGAGUUUACUUGUCUCUCAUGUGAAAGUCCCAAAUGGGCUUUCCUGGUCAGUGACUAACUCUCCUCUAUGCAGUUAUUCAGACUUCAGCCCUUUCCCUCCUAUGGCAUCAUCCUUUUAAACUCCUGGGCUUUCAAGUUCUCCAGGCUCAUCUGCAUCAAGCCAGAGUGGGAAAGAGCAUGAAGGAAGAUGUGCAGGAAGUCUACAAGGGCCUGGCUUAGUAUCACACAUCACUCCCACCCACUUCCCAUUGGGAAACAGAGUCAAGUCACCUAAAUGUGAGGACACCUAGUCUAGUGUGUGCCAACGAUGGAGAGGAGACAUAUUUUGAUGAAUACAGCAGGCUUUGCCACAGAAUAUAGCAUUUCUUGAGAGCUAACCAAGGCCAGGUGUGGUGGCUCACACCUGUAAUCCCAGCACUCCAGGAAGCUGAGGUGGGCGGAUCACUUGAGGACAGGAGUUUGAGACCAUCCUGGCCAACACAGCAAAACUCCAUCUCUACCAAAAUACAAAAAUUAGCUGAGUGUGGUGGUGCACACCUGUAAUCCCAGCGAGUCAGGAGGCUGAGGCAGGAGAAUCACUUGAGCCCUGGAGGUGGAGGUUGCAGUGAGUCGAGAUGUCACCACUGCACUCCAGCCUGGGCAACAGAGUGAGACCCUGUCUCAAAAAACAAACAAAAAAACAAAAUAUGUGCCAAGCACUGUGCUUGGCAUGGCAGGUUCGAUUAUUGCAUUUCACAGGGAGCUAAGUCACUUGUCCCAGCUUCACAGCUGAAGAGUGGCAGAACUGAGUUAGAAUGGGGCUGUGUGAUUUCAGAUGGACCAGAGGGUCCAUCUUCACCACCAUAUAGGAGGCUAUGUUCUACACUCUAACCACUUCAGAAAUUUAGUAGGAAUUUUUGCACAUUGAUUUUGUAUCCUGAGACUCUCCUGAAGUUGCUUAUCAGCUUA
rnacentral:lncRNA from 10 species